GACGAAGGGUGCAAGCGUUAUCCGGAUUCAUUGGGUUUAAAGGGCGCGUAGGUGGCCUUAUAAGUCAGUGGUGAAAUCUCUCGGCUUAACCGAGAAAUUGCCAUUGAUACUGUAGGGCUUGAGUAUAGUUGCCGUUGGCGGAAUAUGACAUGUAGUGGUGAAAUACAUAGAGAUGUCAUAGAACACCGAUUGCGAAGGCAGCUGACGAAACUAUAACUGACACUGAGGCUCGAAAGUACGGGGAUCAAACAGG
rnacentral:rRNA from 1 species